CCUUGUGAUAACGUACCUUAUGACAUUCUUCCCCUGCCCGCAAUAAACGGCUCCUAACUGUAACUUUCCGGUGCUUACCUCUAACUGAUAAAACUAGCUCCAACCCACCACCCUCCACUGACUUCCUUCGCACUCAGCCCACUCGCACCCGGGUGAGUAAACAGCCUUGUUGCUCACACUUAGCCUGUUCAGUUUGUCUCUCCAAUUAGAUGCUCGCAUAACAUUUGGUGCCGAAAGCCCGGGAUAGGGGAACUCCUCCGGCAGACCUCUCCUCUAUCUUCCCGGUACCCACGUUCUCCCAUGCAAGAGACUUCCCUCGCCCUCAGGACCUCAGACCAGCUCCGCGAGCACUCCGGCCUCUGUCUAUGGAUAUGGUGUUCAAUAAUAGGGAAGAGACUGCCCGGCGACAGUGCAUUUCAGAACUACAGAUGCUUGCCUCCGCCAUAAGACAAACCCCAGCUGCACUGCCUACCUGCAAGAACUUCAAGGCAUCUAAACGCAGCAUCCAACAGCCCCUCUGGGACCUUGCUUCCAGCGAUGAAAACCUGGCCACUGGGCCAAGGAAUGCCUGCAGCCUGGGAUUACUCCUAAGCCAUGCCCCGCCUGUGCGGGCCCUCACUGGAAGUCUGACUGCCCGACUCUCAUCGCCACUUCCGGAGCUCCUGGAGCUCAAACCCAAAGCUCCCCACCGACUCCUUCCCAGAUCUCCUCGGCUUGGCUGCUGAAGACUGAGGCUGCCCGAACGUCUCGGAGGCCCCCUAGACCAUCGAGGAUGCCGAGCUUCGGGUAACUCUUAGGGUGGAGGGCAGUCUGAUAACAGGCCGGCCUUCAUUAACCAGCCGUUGGUAUCCAAUGGAAUCUUUAUGCCCCCUAUCACCCUCAGUCCUCUGGAAAAGUAGAGAAAGCCAACAGCCUUUUAAAAACACACCUCGCUAAACUUACCCUCCAGCUUCAGAAAGACUGGACCACUCUUCUACCCCUUGCACUCCUCCUAAUUUGAGCCACACCCCAGGAACCCACCAGGCUAGACAUAAAAUCUGCCAAGCUGCCAAUUUCCUGUUACCUACUCCAGAGACCCAGCGAUAUGAAGACACCCUAGCUGGACUGUCAGUUCUCGUUAAGAACCUAACCCCUCAAACUCUACAACCUCUGUGGACAGGACCCUACCUGGUCAUCUAUAGUACCCCAACCGUGGUCAGUCUACAGAAUCCUCCCCACUGGAUUCAUUGCUCCAGGAUAAAACUAUGCCCAUCUGACGACCAGCCUAGCUCCUCCACCUCCUCCUGGAAGUCACAACAUAAAAAGACAGGAAUGUAAGGUCCUCUGAGCAGGCGGCACCAUGGUCAAGCCAUCGUGACCCCUGUGACUCACACGUACACAUCCAGAAGGUCUCCUGGAGCCAGAAAGUCUGGGACGACAGGAAAACCACAAAAGAAGAAAAACGGCUAGUUCCUGUCUUAGCUGAUCAGCCAACCUUGUGACAUUCUAUCAUUGUAACAGGCUGUACCCUAACUGAUCAAUCAACCUCAUGACACUGUGCUCUGUAACCUUAUGAUAAUGUACCUUAUGACAUUCUUCCCCUGCCCUCAAUAAACAGCUCCAAACUGUAACUUUCCACUGCUUACCCCUAACCUAUAAAACUAGCUCCAACCCCACCACUUCCUUUUCGGACUCAGCCCACCUGCACCCAGUGAAUAAACAACCUUGUUGCUCA